rnacentral:rRNA from 1 species
GACGAACGCUGGCGGCGUGCCUAAUACAUGCAAGUCGAACGAGAUUGAAGAGCUUGCUCUUCAUGAAAGUGGCGCACGGGUGCGUAACGCGUAUGCAAUCUACCUUACUCAGGGGGAUAGCCCGGAGAAAUCCGGAUUAACACCGCAUAACAUAAUGAUAUGGCAUCAUAUUAUUAUCAAAUAUUUAUAGGAGUAAGAUGAGCAUGCGUGACAUUAGCUAGUUGGUGAGGUAACGGCUCACCAAGGCGACGAUGCGUAGCCGACCUGAGAGGGUG